UGGCGGCUGAAUUAGUGAUCGGUCGCCAUUCAUCAACUAUAGUAGGAGUACGACUAUGUCACUAAAUGCAGAAGACAAGGCUAAAAUCGUUGCAGACCUAGCGCGUGGCGA
rnacentral:ncRNA from 1 species